rnacentral:rRNA from 1 species
GACGAACGCUGGCGGCGUGCUUAACACAUGCAAGUCGAACGGAAAGGCCCUGCUUUUGUGGGGUGCUCGAGUGGCGAACGGGUGAGUAACACGUGAGUAACCUGCCCUUGACUUUGGGAUAACUUCAGGAAACUGGGGCUAAUACCGGAUAGGAGCUCCUGCUGCAUGGUGGGGGUUGGAAAGUUUCGGCGGUUGGGGAUGGACUCGCGGCUUAUCAGCUUGUUGGUGGGGUAGUGGCUUACCAAGGCUUUGACGGGUAGCCGGCCUGAGAGGGUGACCGGCCACAUUGGGACGGAGCUACGGCCCAGACUCCUACGGGAGGCAGCAGUGGGGAAUAUUGCACAAUGGGCGGAAGCCUGAUGCAGCAACGCCGCGUGCGGGAUGACGGCCUUCGGGUUGUAAACCGCUUUCGCCUGUGACGAAGCGUGAGUGACGGUAAUGGGUAAAGAAGCACCGGCUAACUACGUG